GAUGAACGCUGGCGGCGUGCCUAAUACAUGCAAGUCGAGCGAACAGACGAGGAGCUUGCUCCUCUGACGUUAGCGGCGGACGGGUGAGUAACACGUGGAUAACCUACCUAUAAGACUGGGAUAACUUCGGGAAACCGGAGCUAAUACCGGAUAACAUGUUGAACCGCAUGGUUCAACAGUGAAAGACGGUCUUGCUGUCACUUAUAGAUGGAUCCGCGCCGCAUUAGCUAGUUGGUAAGGUAACGGCUUACCAAGGCAACGAUGGGUAGCCGACCUGAGAGGGUGAUCGGCCACACUGGAACUGAGACACGGUCCAGACUCCUACGGGAGGCAGCAGUAGGGAAUCUUCCGCAAUGGGCGAAAGCCUGACGGAGCAGCGCCGCGUGAGUGAAGAAGGUCUUCGGAUCGUAAAACUCUGUUAUUAGGGAAGAACAAAUGUGUAAGUAACUAUGCACGUCUUGACGGUACCUAAUCAGAAAGCCACGGCUAACUACGUG
rnacentral:rRNA from 1 species